rnacentral:rRNA from 1 species
AGCGAACGCUGGCGGCAGGCUUAACACAUGCAAGUCGAGCGCCCCGCAAGGGGAGCGGCAGACGGGAGAGUAACACGUGGGAACGUACCCUUCAGUACGGAACAACCAAGGGAAACUCUGGCUAAUACCGUAUACGUCCGUAAGGAGAAAGAUUUAUCGCUGAAGGAUCGGCCCGCGUCUGAUUAGCUAGUUGGUGGGGUAAUGGCCCACCAAGGCGACGAUCAGUAGCUGGUCUGAGAGGAUGAUCAGCCUCACUGGGACUGAGACACGGCCCAGACUCCUACGGGAGGCAGCAGUGGGGAAUAUUGGACAAUGGGCGCAAGCCUGAUCCAGCCAUGCCGCGUGGAUGAUGAAGGCCCUAGGGUUGUAAAGUCCUUUUAACGGGGAAGAUAAUGACGGUACCCGUAGAAUAAGCCCCGGCUAACUUCGUGCCAGCCGCCGCAGUAA